GAUGAACGCUGGCGGCGUGCCUAAUACAUGCAAGUCGAACGAACUUCCGUUAAUUGAUUAUGACGUACUUGUACUGAUUGAGAUUUUAACACGAAGUGAGUGGCGAACGGGUGAGUAACACGUGGGUAACCUGCCCAGAAGUAGGGGAUAACACCUGGAAACAGAUGCUAAUACCGUAUAACAGAGAAAACCGCAUGGUUUUCUUUUAAAAGAUGGCUCUGCUAUCACUUCUGGAUGGACCCGCGGCGUAUUAGCUAGUUGGUGAGGUAAAGGCUCACCAAGGCAGUGAUACGUAGCCGACCUGAGAGGGUAAUCGGCCACAUUGGGACUGAGACACGGCCCAGACUCCUACGGGAGGCAGCAGUAGGGAAUCUUCCACAAUGGACGCAAGUCUGAUGGAGCAACGCCGCGUGAGUGAAGAAGGGUUUCGGCUCGUAAAGCUCUGUUGUUAAAGAAGAACGUGGGUAAGAGUAACUGUUUACCCAGUGACGGUAUUUAACCAGAAAGCCACGGCUAACUACGUGCCAGCAGCCGCGGUAAUACGUAGGUGGCAAGCGUUAUCCGGAUUUAUUGGGCGUAAAGCGAGCGCAGGCGGUCUUUUAAGUCUAAUGUGAAAGCCUUCGGCUCAACCGAAGAAGUGCAUUGGAAACUGGGAGACUUGAGUGCAGAAGAGGACAGUGGAACUCCAUGUGUAGCGGUGAAAUGCGUAGAUAUAUGGAAGAACACCAGUGGCGAAGGCGGCUGUCUGGUCUGCAACUGACGCUGAGGCUCGAAAGCAUGGGUAGCGAACAGGAUUAGAUACCCUGGUAGUCCAUGCCGUAAACGAUGAUUACUAAGUGUUGGAGGGUUUCCGCCCUUCAGUGCUGCAGCUAACGCAUUAAGUAAUCCGCCUGGGGAGUACGACCGCAAGGUUGAAACUCAAAAGAAUUGACGGGGGCCCGCACAAGCGGUGGAGCAUGUGGUUUAAUUCGAAGCUACGCGAAGAACCUUACCAGGUCUUGACAUCUUCUGACAGUCUAAGAGAUUAGAGGUUCCCUUCGGGGACAGAAUGACAGGUGGUGCAUGGUUGUCGUCAGCUCGUGUCGUGAGAUGUUGGGUUAAGUCCCGCGACGAGCGCAACCCUUAUUACUAGUUGCCAGCAUUAAGUUGGGCACUCUAGUGAGACUGCCGGUGACAAACCGGAGGAAGGUGGGGACGACGUCAAAUCAUCAUGCCCCUUAUGACCUGGGCUACACACGUGCUACAAUGGAUGGUACAACGAGUCGCGAGACCGCGAGGUUAAGCUAAUCUCUUAAAACCAUUCUCAGUUCGGACUGUAGGCUGCAACUCGCCUACACGAAGUCGGAAUCGCUAGUAAUCGCGGAUCAGCAUGCCGCGGUGAAUACGUUCCCGGGCCU
rnacentral:rRNA from 1 species